rnacentral:rRNA from 1 species
UACGUAGGGUGCGAGCGUUGUCCGGAAUUAUUGGGCGUAAAGAGCUUGUAGGCGGUUUGUCGCGUCUGCCGUGAAAUUUCGAGGCUCAACCUCGAACUUGCGGUGGGUACGGGCAGACUAGAGUGUGGUAGGGGAGACUGGAAUUCCUGGUGUAGCGGUGAAAUGCGCAGAUAUCAGAAGGAACACCGAUGGCGAAGGCAGGUCUCUGGGCCACUACUGACGCUGAGAAGCGAAAGCAUGGGGAGCGAACAGG